rnacentral:rRNA from 1 species
CACGCCGUAAACGAUGAUUACUGGGUGUAGGGAGUAUCGACUCUCUCUGUGCCGAAGCAAACGCGAUAAGUAAUCCACCUGGGGAGUACGGCCGCAAGGCUAAAACUCAAAGGAAUUGACGGGGACCCGCACAAGCAGUGGAGUAUGUGGUUUAAUUCGAGGCAACGCGAAGAACCUUACCAGGGUUUGACAUCCUGCGCCAGGCUUGGAGACAGGCUGUUCCUUCGGGACGCAGAGACAGGUGG